rnacentral:rRNA from 2 species
GGGUUGUGAGGUUAAGCGACUAAGCGUACACGGUGGAUGCCCUGGCAGUCAGAGGCGAUGAAGGACGUGCUAAUCUGCGAUAAGCGUCGGUAAGGUGAUAUGAACCGUUAUAACCGGCGAUUUCCGAAUGGGGAAACCCAGUGUGUUUCGACACACUAUCAUUAACUGAAUCCAUA